UUACUUUUUUAUGAAAGGUUCUUCACGACUUCCAUAUGAGACUUUAGUUACUGGUAUCAUCAUACAUCUAAAGGUGCAUAUGGACCUUCUCCGCUGCAGAUCAUUGUUGGCCUGUACCAGACUGCGCCACAGUUGGAUUAAACGUAUCGCUGCCAUUACAAAAUAUUAGGAUGGCACUAUGGCAGUUAGUGGUUCAUUAUCUAUAGAGGAUUUUCUCUACAGAACAAUGUUUGUUCACAUUCCAGGGGGAUUUCGUGGAUCGGCUCCUUCAUGCUUGGUUUCUAGGAGAGCACUGUGAACCAUCAGUGUAUAUGGAACAUCGUUGGCAGCUCAGAUGUUAUAACCCUAGCAGUAAUGCAGUAUCAUCUUUAGUGGAAAGUGCUCAAAUGAUAGUUACUCUUCAUGAUUGCUACAAUUUAGAGAACUCUUGAUUAUAAUGGUGGCAACCUAUGUACCUGUAUACUAAUUCAUUUGAGUAUGUCGAGGGCAACAAAACUAAAUUUAAUUGAUAUUGUGAAAAUUUUCCCUUGAAGGCUCACAUACUUUUUCCUACUGCAGUUCAGCUAUUCAGCAAAAAUCCUCCGUCCAAUGCUCCCUUUGAGGCUUGGUUCAAGAAGUGGCUCUUAAUUUUUGGUGCUGGUGUCUAGCGAGAUUCAUAUUGUUUAGUGUUAUGAAGGAUUGGAGGUACACUCAGUUUGAGAUCGGUUUUCUUAGUGCCAACUUCAGUUCAUGGUGGCAUGUUCUUUCCAGGUAGUGUUUAAGUGCAUAUUGUUAUUGUUAACACACCAUGAUUCUGCAAACCCAUCCCAGGUUAUACUAUUCCAUUGGUUCAGUGUCCAUUGUAGUCGGGCAGAUAAAUUAAAUUGACUUGGGUGUGGUCAGUUAUAAAAGGUGAACAGAUGAGCAGGCCACUUGCAGUUUCGGACGUGGAGUAAAUUAGUUCAAAUACAACUCCGGUUCUCCAAUCCUCUACAAUCAGUUGAGCACCAACAAAAUCGGAGAAGCCCAGCCUUCAAAGUAGUUACAGGUUCCAGUUAAGUUCUAACCACCCAAGUACUUAUAUAGUUUGUAUCAUGAUUACAAACAAAGCUGUCAUUGACAUGGGACCUUCCCUUUAUUGCUAGGCCAUAGUUUGAAUGUUAUUAGAAUCUUUGGUGUAUUGCAUCAUUUCAAUAUAGUUCAAUGUGACCUGAAACUAUAGCAUAUCCUUAUGAAGAGCUACAACAUAUGUGUAACAAAGGUUAUUGAUAUUAAAAGCAGUUGCUUAUUAACAGACAACAUAAGCACUUGCUAAUUGCAGCUUUCGUCUCCAUAAAAACAAUGUCACUUGAUUGAGACCCAUGACUAGGUUACGUUUGUGUAAAGGGAAAAACUGCCCACUACAUCCAUCACACUAGGAGCCUAGAGGUAUGUAUGUCUUAUUGAGGAAAUUCACUUGGUUGUAUGUACUUUUCGUGUUCAUGUUUGUGUCUCGUAUUGAUAACAAAUUUAUUAGCAGACUUGGACAUGCGGGUGUUUGUGAUACCAUUGUUCCUCAUAUGUCAUUCACAUGGAUUUUGAGCUUUGUUUUUUCUUUCCUUAAAUUA